CUUUCACACUACUUGCAUGAAAUUGGGGAUCAGAUGAGGGAAAGCUGGCUGAAGACCAGUCCUGACAAAGCAGAGAUGAUGAGGCUUGUGGUCCUCAGGAAAAUGUUGACUGUUUCUUAGAAUAACUGAGUGUGCACAUUUUAAGGCCAAGAACAAGAAGGGCAGAGGUGCACCAUAGAGAGAGACCCAGAUAAUCCUGACAAGUGACCUGCACCCACACACUGAAGAAGUUAAAAAACCCCAAAGAUGCUGCCAAUCUGACCUGGGGGGAAAUUCCUUCCUGACUUCACAUAUGGCAAUUGGUUAGGUCCAGAGCAUGUGAGCAAGGAAGAGCCAGUC